UCCAUUUAUUUUUAGUCUUGCAAACUUUGUUUGGCACUGCCCGCUAUGCAUCCCAAAAGGGCCAUCGAAUUCUCACCCAAAAUAAGUUUGUAUUCAAGCUGCCAUUUAUUUUGUGUUGCUGCGCCAGCCGGUUGCCAUUACUGCAUCAUUUAGUUGGACAGUUCCAAUCUCCAAUAUAUACCGUGGGAGCCGUUCGUUGGAUUUGAACAAGCUUCUUUCUCUAAUAUGGCAGGGCUGGGUGAUGGAAAAACAACCCUGGGAGGUUCAUCCGGCAGCACUUGUAAGCUUGAAGAUCAUUUUGGAGAGGGCAUCAUGCCCCCUCUGUGAUGUUAGUGUUGCUGGAGGAGGCGAUGUUGUCCAGUGCAGCGACGUUCAGUGAAACAAUUAAUUAACACCGCUCACUCCUUCAACGCAAUAUGGAGGUGCACUGAGUCUCUAUGGGAUGCCUGUUAGCAAUAAUCGUCGUGACUUGGACAACGAAAUUAUAUUUGACUUCGACGACGGUACUGGCAGGGUUAAGGCCAAGAUAUGGUAUUCACUUGAGCUAUAUUUUUUCUGUGUCAAAAGAUAGUAGCUUCCUUGUUCUACUCUGGUAAAAAAAAUGUUGCUUUCAGGACAGUAGAGUCGGAGUUCAUGCGUUCGAUGGACACUGCUAAAGAUGGUGACUAUAUUGUUUUGAAUGGUGGUAUCCGGGGUGGUACUUAUGACGUGCACAUACGCGUAUAUCCCGUCAGGAUUGUCACUAACUACAACGACAUCACGCACCACUUCCUUUCUUGCAUCUAGGUUCACUUGGGUCUGAGAAAGCAGGCGAGUGUGCGUAAAUGUAUUUCACGUUCCACAUGUAAAACCCAGUAUGGAUGUUCCAUAAUUGAUUCUCUGAUGUGUAUUCAGGCUAGACUACGUCAAGCAGACAGGGAUCGGAGAGAGGCUGCUUCUGUUGUUACAGAGCGCUGUAUUUCAGUGCAUAGUAGCGGCAACUCUCUGUUUGACUCUGUACUUCGGGUCUUCUAUCGCCCUGGGAUAAUGUAAUUGACAGAGAUCCACUAAUCUACUUACCGAUAUAUUUUUUGUUUUGCUAUCUGACCCCUUGGUUGCUAACAAAUAACUUGAAAACAGCGCACCGUUUUCUCUAAUAACGUCUGAAAACGGUGCCGACGAAGAUCAACUUCGAUACUUGCCUAAUUAUGUGACCAUCUAUUGCCGUCAAUGUACCACGUCAAUGUCAUGACAUCUGACCUCCCGUUCGGCGUAGGGCUGUCACUGGAGCUCAUGUCGCUAUUGGAAAUCUCUUCACCACCUUCGACGAAGAUCACUUCAAGUGCUCAUUCAACGGCUAGUGCUCUUUUCUGUCAUGGCACGAGAACCGUUUCCGGAUCACCAUGAAUCGGGAUUCAGUCUGU